rnacentral:misc_RNA from 1 species
UUGUCAAACUAGGUUUCAAG